AAACAGCACUCUGGAGAGACCUGGUGCCCGCCCGGCGCUUCGCGCAGGCAGGCCACCCAGGCGCCGAAGGUGCAAACCCGCCGCCGCGGGGCAACUCUCAGGCAAAAGGACAGAGGGGCGGAA
rnacentral:ncRNA from 2 species